rnacentral:rRNA from 1 species
GACGAACGCUGGCGGCGUGCUUAACACAUGCAAGUCGAACGGAAAGGCCCCCAUCUUGGUGGGGGCGCUCGAGUGGCGAACGGGUGAGUAACACGUGGGUGAUCUGCCCUGUACUUCAGGAUAAGCUUGGGAAACUGGGUCUAACACCGGAUAGGACCAUGGUUCAGUGUCUCAUGGUGGAAAGAUUAUUGUUUUGGUGUAGGAUGAGCUCGCGGCCUAUCAGCUUGUUGGUGGGGUAAUGGCCUACCAAGGCGUCGACAGGUAGCCGGCCUGAGAGAGUGGGCGGGAACAUUGGGACUGAGAGACGGCGAAGGCUCCAACGGAAGGAAGCAGUGGGGAAUAAGGAGCAGUGGACGCAAGCCAGAGGCAGCGACGCCGCGGGGGGGAUGACGGGUUUCGGGUGGUGAACUCCUUUCGUUAGGGCCGUAGCCACGCUUAUUGGGUGUGAUGAAGGUAAAUUGGUAAAGAAGCACCGGCUAACUACGUG